CAAGUCCCCUUGACAGAGGUUCCACAGAAGGUGCAAGUCCUGUACGUUGAGAUAAUUGAUCGAUAUUUGCGUGCUUUAGAGUCGGGUUGUUUGGGAUCGCAGCCCAAAGUCGGUGGUAAACUUCAUCUAAGACUUAAUAUUGCCACGAGACCGAUAGCAAACAAGUACUGUGAAGGAAAGUUGCAAAGCACUUUGAAGAGAGAGUUAAAGAGGACGUGAAACCGGUAAGGUGGAAACGGAUAGAGUCGGCGUAUCAUUCAAUUAUUCAGUUACAUUAUUUUUAUGUUGUGACCUCUGAGCUCCAGAUUGGGACAGAGGGAAUCAGCAUAAUUUUUUGUGGUGCAUUUACUUGAUUGGUGCUUGGGGAUGUUUGAGGCAGAUUUGUUUCCGUCGUUUUGAGGCCAGCUUGCUGGUACCCAAACGGUGUUAGCAUUUUUUGUCUUGGGCAUUUGAGUAUGGCUCACGUGUAUUUAUUGGACAGAUCUGAGUGUAAGUUACGGUCGCAUGCGACACGUGCUUUUCAAUUAGUUCGGUCCAGUUAAUGCUCUCGUACUCGUUCCCCAUGUAAAAGCCGGUCAUCUAUCCGACCCGUCUUGAAACACGGACCAAGGAGUUUAUCGUGUGCGCAAGUUUUUGGGUGUUAAAAACUUAAAAGCGAAAUGAAAGUAAAUGACUCUUUAGAGUCUGAUGUGCGAUCUUGUAAAAAAGUGUAGCAUGGCCCCAUUCUAACUGUUUACAGUAGGGUGGCGGAAGAGCGUACGCGGUGAGACCCGAAAGAUGGUGAACUAUUCCUGA
rnacentral:rRNA from 1 species